rnacentral:rRNA from 1 species
GACAGAGGCCUCGAGCGUUAGGCGGAAUCACUGGGCUUAAAGCGUGUGUAGGCGGAUCGUUAAGUACCUUGUGAAAUCCCACGGCUCAACCGUGGAACGGCUGGGUAUACUGGCGGUCUUGGGCCAUUCAGGGGCGAUUGGAACAAGCGGUGGAGCGGUGAAAUGCGUAGAUAUCGCUUGGAACGCCGAAGGUGAAAACAGGUCGCUGGGGAUGUGCCGACGCUGAGACACGAAAGCCAGGGGAGCAAACGGG